rnacentral:rRNA from 2 species
GCCGAGAGACACAGGGAUUGCCUCAGUAACGGCGAGUGAAGCGGCAACAGCUCAAAUUUAAAAUCUGGUUCCUUCGGGGCCUGAGUUGUAAUUUGGAGAGGAUGCUUCGGCUGCGACCCCGGUCUAAGUUCCUUGGAACAGGACGUCACAGAGGGUGAGAACCCCGUAUGUGGCCAGGUGUCAACGCCAUGUGAAGCUCCUUCGACGAGUCGAGUUGUUUGGGAAUGCAGCUCUAAAUGGGAGGUAUAUUUCUUCUAAGGCUAAAUACCGGCGAGAGACCGAUAGCGCACAAGUAGAGUGAUCGAAAGAUGAAAAGCACUUUGGAAAGAGAGUUAAAAAGUACGUGAAAUUGUUGAAAGGGAAGCGCUUGCAACCAGAUUUGGACGUAGUUGCUUAACCUGCCCUCGUGGCCGGUGCACUUUUCUACGUCCAGGCCAGCAUCGGUUCGGGCGGCCAGAUAAAGACCACGGGAAUGUAGCUCCCCUCGGGGAGUGUUAUAGCCCGCGGUGGAAUGUGGUCAGCCCGGACCGAGGUCCGCGCUUCGGCUAGGAUGCUGGCGUAAUGGUUGUAAGCGGCCCGUCUUGAAACACGGACCAAGGAGUCUAACAUCUAUGCGAGUGUUUGGGUGCGAAACCCAUGCGCGUAAUGAAAGUGAACGGAGGUGGGAGCCCUUACGGGCGCACCAUCGACCGAUCCUGAUGUCUUCGGAUGGAUUUGAGUAAGAGCAUAGCUGUUGGGACCCGAAAGAUGGUGAACUAUUCCUGAAUAGGGUGAAGCCAGAGGAAACUCUGGUGGAGGCUCGCAGCGGUUCUGACGUGCAAAUCGAUCGUCAAAUUUGGGUAUAGGGGCGAAAGACUAAUCGAACCAUUUAGUAGCUGGUUCCUGCCGAAGUUUCCUCAGGAUAGCAGUAACGAUUUCAGUUUAUGAGGUAAACCAAUGAUUAAAGCCUGGGGGUGAAACACCUUCCCUAUUCUCAACUUUAAUAUGUAAAAGACCUUGUUCUUAGUUGAACGGGGAAUUUGAUGGACCGUACUAUUGGG